rnacentral:rRNA from 1 species
CACGGUGGGUAACCUGCCCUUAAGUGGGGGAUAACAUUUGGAAACAGAUGCUAAUACCGCAUAGAUCCAAGAACCGCAUGGUUCUUGGCUGAAAGAUGGCGUAAGCUAUCGCUUUUGGAUGGACCCCCCGCGUAUUAGCUAGUUGGUGAGGUAAUGGCUCACCAAGGCGAUGAUACGUAGCCGAACUGAGAGGUUGAUCGGCCACAUUGGGACUGAGACACGGCCCAAACUCCUACGGGAGGCAGCAGUAGGGAAUCUUCCACAAUGGACGCAAGUCUGAUGGAGCAACGCCUCGUGAGUGAAGAAGGCUUUCGGGUCGUAAAACUCUGUUGUUGGAGAAAAAUGGUCGGCAGAGUAACUGUUGUCGGCGUGACGGUAUCCAACCAGAAAGCCACGGCUAACUACGUGCCAGCAGCCGCGGUAAUACGUAGGUGGCAAGCGUUAUCCGGAUUUAUUGGGCGUAAAGCGAGCGCAGGCGGUUUUUUAAGUCUGAUGUGAAA